rnacentral:rRNA from 1 species
UACGUAGGGAGCAAGCGCUGUUCGGAUUUACUGGGCGUAAAGGGCGCGUAGGCGGCGCGGUAAGUCACUUGUGAAAUCUCUGAGCUUAACUCAGAACGGCCAAGUGAUACUGCAGUGCUAGAGUGCAGAAGGGGCAAUCGGAAUUCUUGGUGUAGCGGUGAAAUGCGUAGAUAUCAAGAGGAACACCUGAGGUGAAGACGGGUUGCUGGGCUGACACUGACGCUGGAGGCGCGAAAGCCAGGGGAGCAAACGGG